rnacentral:sRNA from 1 species
CGGAGAUCCAUUCUGGGCUCCUAGAGGUCAUCUCACCCUCCCCCCACUUCUACCCUGACUUCUCCCGCCUCCGAGAGUCCUUUGGGGACCCCAAGGAGAGAGUCAGGUGGAGGACCAAACAGAACCUCGAUUACUGCUUCCUCAUGAUGUACGCGCAGUCCAAAGGCAUCUACUACGUGCAGCUGGAGGAUGACAUCGUGGCCAAGCCCAACUACCUAAGCACCAUGAAGAACUUUGCACUGCAGCAGCCUUCAGAGGACUGGAUGAUCCUGGAGUUCUCCCAGCUGGGCUUCAUUGGUGUGCCCCUCCCCUUACCUGACGGUGCCUUUCAGUCCCACCUGCCUUUGCCAUCCUGUCUCCCAGUCCCACUGUGUCCACUGUGAGCCUUUGCCCAGGUGGGCCCUGCCUGGUGUGUGUGCUACAGCCCCACCUGGCCUGUUCUCAUUGCCUGUGCAUCAGACAUGUCUGCCCUCAUCACCUGUCUGCCCCCCUGCCCCGUUAUGCCCACACCUGCCUGAAGCCUGCCCCUGGGUUUGCUGUGGGACUCUCGGGGGCCGCUGCAGGGAGAAAGGAAGUAGGCGGAGCAGCACUGCCCACUCAGGCCCCUCCCCACCAGGUAAGAUGUUCAAGUCGCUGGACCUGAGCCUGAUUGUAGAGUUCAUCCUCAUGUUCUACCGGGACAAGCCCAUCGACUGGCUCCUGGACCAUAUUCUGUGGGUGAAAGUCUGCAACCCCGAGAAGGAUGCG